rnacentral:rRNA from 1 species
AUUGAACGCUGGCGGCAGGCCUAACACAUGCAAGUCGAACGAGUGGCGGACGGGUGAGUAAUGUCUGGGACACUGCCUGGUAGAGGGGGAUAACUACUGGAAACGGUCGCUAAUACCGCAUACCCUCGGAUGUGCCCAGAUGGGAGUAGCUGGUAGGUGGGGUAACGGCUCACCUAGGAGACGAUCCCUCGCUGGUCUGAGAGGAUGACCAGCCACACUGGAACGGAGACACGGUCCAGAAUGCGACGGGAGGCAGCAGUGGGGAAUAGUGCACAAUGGGCGCAAGCCUGAUGAAGCCAUGCGGCGUGUAUGAAGAAGGCCUUCGGGUUGUAAAGUACGUUCAGCGGGGAGGCGUUACCCGCAGAAGAAGCACCGGCUAACUCCGUGCCAGCAGCCGCGGUAAUUC